rnacentral:tRNA from 1 species
UGUAAAUAUAGUUUAACAAAAACACUAGAUUGUGGAUCUAGAAACAGAAACUUAAUAUUUCUUAUUUACC